GAUGAACGCUAGCGGCAGGCUUAAUACAUGCAAGUCGAGGGGCAGCAUGAGUGUAGCAAUACAUUUGAUGGCGACCGGCAAACGGGUGCGGAACACGUACACAACCUUCCUAUAAGUGGGGAAUAGCCCAGAGAAAUUUGGAUUAAUACCCCGUAACAUAAUGGUGUGGCAUCACAUUAUUAUUAUAGCUACGGCGCUUAUUGAUGGGUGUGCGGCUGAUUAGAUAGUUGGCGGGGUAACGGCCCACCAAGUCUACGAUCAGUAGCUGAUGUGAGAGCAUGAUCAGCCACACGGGCACUGAGACACGGGCCCGACUCCUACGGGAGGCAGCAGUAAGGAAUAUUGGUCAAUGGACGCAAGUCUGAACCAGCCAUGCCGCGUGAAGGAUUAAGGUCCUCUGGAUUGUAAACUUCUUUUAUCUGGGACGAAAAAAGGCGAUUCUUCGUCACUUGACAGUACCAGAUGAAUAAGCACCGGCUAACUCCGUGCCAGCCGCCGCGGUAAAAC
rnacentral:rRNA from 1 species